UACAGAGGUCUCAAGCGUUGUUCGGAUUCAUUGGGCGUAAAGGGUGCGUAGGUGGCGCCGUAAGUCGGGUGUGAAAUUUCGGAGCUUAACUCCGAAACUGCAUUCGAUACUGCGGUGCUUGAGGACUGGAGAGGAGACUGGAAUUCAUGGUGUAGCAGUGAAAUGCGUAGAUAUUCGGAAGAACACCAGUGGCGAAGGCGGCUCACUGGUCCGGUACUGACGCUGAGGUGCGAAAGCGUGGGGAGCAAACAGG
rnacentral:rRNA from 1 species